rnacentral:rRNA from 1 species
UACGUAGGGUGCGAGCGUUUGUCCGGAAUUAUUGGGCGUAAAGAGCUCGUAGGCGGUCUGUCGCGUCGGUCGUGAAAACUUGGGGCUUAACCCUGAGCUUGCGGUCGAUACGGGCAUGACUGGAGUUCGGCAGGGGAGACUGGAAUCCUGGUGUAGCGGUGAAAUGCGCAGAUAUCAGGAAGAACACCAAUGGCGAAGGCAGCUCUCUGGGACGGUACUGACGCUGAGACGCGAAAGCGUGGGG